UACGUGAGGUACAAGCGUUACCCGGAUUCAUUGGGCGUAAAGUGUUUCGUAGGCGCUUUGGUAAGUUUUGCUUCAAAGCCCAUGGCUUAACCAUGGAAAGGGGUGGAAUACUGCCAGAGUUGAAAUAUCUCGGGGCUACUGGAACUAUCGGUGUAGGGGUGAAAUCCGUUGAUAUCGAUAGGAACUCCAAGGGCGAAGGCAGGUAGCUAGGGGUUAUUUGACGCUGAGGAACGACAGCUAGGGGAGCUAAAGGG
rnacentral:rRNA from 1 species